GUGAGCCGUGUGAUAGGUAACUAUCUCGCACGGUUCGGAGAGCACUUUAUUAUGUCAGACGAGUAAACGGCGACCAAGUUGUACGGCUCUAUGAAGUAACUUUUGACUCUAC
rnacentral:ncRNA from 1 species